CUAAUCAGCCAAAAACUCCACCCUUUAAAUCACCAGCUACGAUUCUCCCUUCUUCCUUUAUGCACCAAAAAUCAUAGAGAGUUUAUUUCAGCUGCAAUCUGGACCCCAAGAGUUUAUUCACUCCUGAAUUCAUUAGCACAGCAGCCAACCAAGCACAAAACACACAAGGUCAAGCGCGAGAGUGAGAGCUACUCAAGGAAUCACAGCGCCUUAGAAAAUCUUUGCUAUCAGGUGGGCAUUUCUUACGCGUAAAAUGAAAAUGCUAUUGAAGAACUAUGCAACUUUCAUGCUCUAAAAUGCAAAAUUAGAUUUUCAAAUGAGUUAUGCUUUAUUAUGCUUAAAUGAGUUAAACUUUAUUUCUCUUUAUUAUCUACACUUGUCGCGCUUUAAUAAUUUACGCUAUGCUAUUUACGCUUAAUUACGACUUAAAUUUUUAUAAUUUAUUAUUUAUGCUUUGUUAUGCUUUUAAGUGAUUUACGCUUAAGUGACUUACGCUUUGUUACGCGCCUACGUGGUUCACGCUUUGUUACGCUUUAAUGCUUUACGCUUAUUAUUUAACGCCUAUGUAAGUUAUGCUUUAAUGCUUUAUGCUUAUUAUCUAAUGCUUAUUUGAUGCUAACAAAAUCGAUUCCUGAGCGGAUAGCUAUCCUGCCAGGACUUAUAUACACAAUGCGACCGUGAGUCAAUGAGAGGGUUGGCCGGUCAAACGUCCGUUGAGGGAGGCCUCCCUCAACGGUACGAUGCUAGCGUCUGUUGGGGGAGGCCUCCCUCAACAGUACGAUGCCGUGUCCGCUGAGGGAGGCCUCCCUCACGGCGCGAUGCCUGUGUUCGUUGAGAAAGGCCUUCCUCACGACACGAUGCUUCUUAAUAGGACUUUCGAUGAUGAAGAAUGCACUCAUGCUAUUUAUGGAUUUGGAAAUGUUUAGUAAGCAAAGGAUUUGAAAGAAGGCUCACGUCUCUUAUAUGAUGUUGUGGUUUGUUAAUAAAAUGUUAAGCUUAUAUUUUAGUUUUGGCAACUGCCCACUAAGUACUAUUGUACUUAGCCCUGCAUAUUUUUAUGAAUGUGCAGGUUGAGCUGUGAUGGAUGAUGAAGUGUUGCUGAGUGGAGCUUUUGUCAAAUUGAAAUUAGGCUCAGAAAGGAUAUAUGUCUGCAUACAUGUAUCUCAGUUAUGUUUUCCGCUGCAAACACUGAUUAUGUUUUAGUCAAGUCUAUAACUAUGCCAAUUACUCUUCAAAGACAUAUCUAAUGCUUACUCGGGUUAAUCGAGUAUCCUUUUUAAUUAUAUGCGUCAAUCCUUCAAAUGUAUUAAAGUUUAUUUCAA